UACGUAGGUGGCAAGCGUUAUCCGGAUUUAUUGGGCGUAAAGGGAACGCAGGCGGUCUUUUAAGUCUGAUGUGAAAGCCUUCGGCUUAACCGGAGUAGUGCAUUGGAAACUGGGAGACUUGAGGGCAGGAGAGGAAAGUGGAAUUCCUAGUGUAGCGGUGAAAUGCGUAGAUAUUAGGAGGAACACCAGUGGCGAAGGCGACUUUCUGGACUGUACCUGACGCUGAGGCGCGAAAGCAUGGGUAGCGAACAGG
rnacentral:rRNA from 1 species